GUUUUGCCAUGUUGGCCAGGCUGGUCUUGAACUCCUGACCUCUGGUGAUCUGCCCGCCUUGCCCUCCCAAAGUGCUGGGAUUACAGGCGUGAGCUACCACGCUCAGCCAAUAUACAGAUUUUUCUAUUUAUCAACUUUUAUUGAUCAAUUUUAGUCAUUCUCUAUUAACUUCCUGCUAUUUAUACCACCCGAAUGCCUUUCCCAUGCCUCCAAUAUAGCCAUGUCACUAAUUAUAUAUCCUCUAUUCCUUAUCUUUCUACCUUUAACUAAUAGACUUACUCUCCCUUUUCUCUCUUUUAACUUGUCAACUGCACUUUUAUAUUAACAAGGUUAAUAUUUACACUUUGUUCUAUAACCAUAAUUAAGUCAUCCAUACUUUGCCAGUAGGUCAUUCUAAAAGUUUAAGGGCAAUAAAGUGUUUACAUUAUUAUGAUUAUGUAAAUAUUGUUCCAGAAAGAUCCAAUUAGUAUAUUAGGAUUACAUUGCUUUUCUUAUACACCUUUUUUUCCUUAGAGUUUCUAAUUGUCUUUCUUUUUUUCCUUGCAUUGUCUGACUUUAUCACCUUCUUAAGUUAUUCCAAAGUCUCAAGGAAAGUAUAAAAUCAUUUGAAUCCCCUUUUUCCCCAGAUACCUUCUUCCUGGAGUCCUCCGUCUUCCUGUUCCAAUUUGGACGGAUUGCUCUGUAGGCCUGCGGUGCAGCUGUCAUCCUGGGACGUCCCUUCAUUAUUCUGGGUUGGACCCAAUCUUUCUUGGACCCCAUAUCUUCCUCUUUCUUAGUUUACUCCCUUGUAGUGGACAUUGUAGUUGUUCUGCAGCAUCCAUUCCACUCCUCUCCCGCUGUAUAACAACUAUGCAAUGUGAGUGGGAUUGACCCCACCACCAGCUCUAGGUGUAGGCCUUUAUUGGUAUAAACUGAUCUGAGUAAUUUCACCCUCCUAGCCACAGUGAUGACUGGUUCAGGGAUGACCCAAUCACAAUGAGGCUUAGGACUUUUAUUCAGCUUUUGAGGGAGGAGAUGACCUAUCUUCCCUUGGAUAAGAACAAAGAAGCAUGUAGCCUGGUUGCUGCUGUUAGCCAUCUUGUGAACAUGUGGAAGGCCUACCUGAGGAUGGAGCUGAAAAAUGGAGGAGGCAGAGCCAAGAGAAUCACAGAAAUGGAACCAUAUUCCGGAUCAUGCCAUGCCUGAAAUCUCCCUGCCUGUGGACUCUUCAGUUAAGUGAGCCAAUGAAUUGCAUUUACUAUUCAAGACAGUUUGAGUUGGAUUUUGUAUUGCUUGUCCCUGAAAGCAUUCUAAUUUAUGUUUUUGGUUUUCUCACUCUGGAAAGGGGAUGGGUGCAUGUUUGGUUAUAUGAGGUAUAUUUGCACCGUAUUAGGUGGAAGCUUUUUUUAAAAGCAUAAAUACGGGAGGAAGGCUAUAUGUGGAUGUUGGAUGACCAAAGGAGCGAACUCUACUGUUCUCUAGCAUCUAAUUUCCCAUGCUGUUUUUUGGGGGAAUCCCUGCCAAAUUGGGAGGCAUGGCCCUAUUUCCCACUAUGGAAACUGAUGGUGGUCAGAUAUUUUCUUUCCCAGCCCGCCAGGCAACAAGGGCUGAAUACUCUGUUCAUGGCCUUGAAUCUGGAACCAGCAACAAAAAGAAGGCAGGAAUAUACAAAAUUAACAAAAGGAUGAUAGAUUAGGAGAAUAUAUAAGGAAGAUAGUAAACCCAAUAGGAAAAUGGGCAUAGGAUAUGAAGAGUAAUUUAUAGAAGGGGAAACUUGAGUUUACACAAGGGGAAACUUGAAUAUAUUAAGAGCUUUUUCAACUCUGCCAAUAAUUAGAGAAAUGAAAUUAAAAUAAUAAUGAGAAGUCACUACAGGAAUGGUAACAUGUAGAAAGUCAGAUAUUAUCAAGUGCUGAUGAAUCAGGAUGUGAGGAAAAGGACAACCAUGAGUUGGAAUGUAAACUGGUACAGGUAUUCCAGAGAGAGUUUGGCAGCACCCAUGAAAUUAAGUAUGUGAAUACCCUACAACCCAGUAAUCCCGCUUCUGGGCAUAUAUUCCAGAGAAAUUCUCAUACAGGUCCUAAGAAAAUAUAGUUGAGGUUGUUCAUUGCAGCACUGUUUGUGGUAGUGAGGAAUCAGAAGCAAUCAGGUGUUCAUCACUAUAGGACAGGAUAAACAAACUGUAUAUUCAUACGAUGGAAAACUACAAAACAAAAGUAAUAAACUAGAUUUACAUAUAGCCACAUGGAUAGGUCUCUAAAAUCCCCAGCAUUGAGAGAAAAAAGUAAGAAACAGAAUAGUAUUUAUAGUACAAUUCCAUUUACAGAAAUGUAAAACAACACUAUGUAUUUUCAUGGAUAUGCAUAUAAAUAAACAUAUGGAAGACGGAUUGAAAGUAUACAUACGUUAAUUACACUGGAGAGGCUCACUGAGUUAGGCAGGAGAAUGGGAGUAAGGAUAGGGACUGAUGGGGAAGAAGAAGAAGAUAAAGUAAAAGAAGAACUAAAGUAAAAGAGCAGCCUUCAGUGAACUGGUCAUAAUGUGCCAUAAAUUGCAGAUUAUGAUUAACUAAACUCUGAAGUCCACAACAAAUAAACCAAAACAACAGAUGUGAGGAUGGUUGGAGCUCCCUUGCAGUGGCAUGUGCCAGUAGGAUAAGGUCCACUGGUAGGAGCAGUGCAGGGAGCAGUGCCAACAGCAGCAUUCUAACCAGGCUGUUUUUAUGGUGGACCCUUAGCUGUGGUUCCUGAUGCCUGCCUUCCUCGCUCCCACUCCAUGUUCUCAGCCUGAUUCUCUAGACUUCCGUGAGCUACCUGAUAACUUCAUAAUAAAUCUCUUUUCUAGGCUGGGUGCAGCGGCUCACACCUGUAAUCCCAGCACUUUGGGAGGCCCAGGCAGGCAGAUCGCCUGAGGUUGGGAGUUCGAGACCAGCCUGACCAACAUAGAGAAACCCUGUCUGUACUAAAAAUACAAAAAAUUAGCCAGGCAUGGUGGCACAUGCCUAUAAUCCCAGCUACUCGGGAGGCUCAGGCAGGAGAAUUACUUGAACCCAGGAGAUGGAGGUUGCAGUGAGCUGAGAUUGCACCAUUUUGAGACAGAGUCUUGCUCUUUCACCCAGGCUGGAGUACAGUGGUGCGAUCUCAGCUCACUGCAACCUCUGCUUCCAGGGUUCAAGCGAUUCUCCUGCUUCAGCCUCCUGAGUAGCUGGGACUACAGGUGCACGCCACCACGCCUGGCUAAUUUUUGUAUUUUUAGUAGAGAUGGGGUUUCACCAUGUUGUCCAGGAUGGUCUCCAUCUCUGGACCUCCUGAUCCGCCUGCCUCAGCCUCCCAAAUUGCUGGGAUUACAGGCGUGAGACACUGCACCUGGCCACAUCGUACAUUUUGUUGGAGAACAUCCUCGAGUAACUUCUUAAGAAAGUCAAGCCGUCUGGAGCUGUGACAGCCAUCUUGUGACCAUGUGGGGAUGAGCACGAGGAAGAAGACAACAUGUGAAGGAAGAAAGUCAGAAAGAGCCCAAUUUCUUGAUGGCAUCAUUGAGCAGCUGAACCCAUGCCACAGUUCCUGUUAACUUAAAAAAAUAAAUAAAGCCAUAUGUGUUUAAGCCACUAUCAGUUGAGUUUUUUGUUACUUGUAGCUGAAAUGAUUUUUAUUUGAUGGACCGCCAUGGUUCCUUGUCAUAUGCUUAUAUCAUUCUUUCUUUCUUUCUUUCGAGACAGAGUCUCGCUGCAAUGCCCAGGCUGGAGUGCAAUGGCACGAUCUCGGCUCACUAAAACCUCCACCUCCCAGGUUCAAGCAUUUCUCCUGCCUCAGCCUCCUGAGCAGCUGGUAUUACAGGCGCCUGCCACCACACCCAG
rnacentral:lncRNA from 1 species